rnacentral:rRNA from 1 species
UACGUAGGGUGCAAGCGUUGUCCGGAAUUAUUGGGCGUAAAGGGCGCGUAGGCGGCCCGGUAAGUCAAAGGUGAAAUCCCUCGGCUCAACUGAGGAACUGCCUUUGAAACUGUCGGGCUUGAGGCCGGGAGGGGGUAGCGGAAUUCCCAGUGUAGCGGUGAAAUGCGUAGAUACUGGGAGGAACACCAGUGGCGAAGGCGGCUACCUGGACCGGUUCUGACGCUGAUGCGCGAAAGCGUGGGUAGCAAACAGG